GGAGAGACAAACAAGCUUCGUCUCACAACAUGUUUUUUCCUCUCUGAGCUGGUGUUUGCUGGUUAGAGUGACACACACAGGAGUCACAAAUGAAAGAUUCAGAACUUCACUACCUUCAACUGCACUCAGCAAUCAAAUCAACACUCUCAGGAUGGGACGAUGUUUAAAAAGUGGGUUAAACUAAAACAGGCGACGAUGAGAUGGAAAACAUGAAGUUCCAUCCUGCUGUUUUUAACAAACGAUGAAUGGAAACGGAGAAAAUAGGAUCCACAUGCGCAGAGAGACCCGGUUCGACCCCUCAGGUCCUCUGACUUCACUCAAAACAUCCUCGAAAAAAGGGAGAAAAAAGAAAUGUGAUAAAAAUCAGUGACACAGACGUGAAGAGUAGAGCAGAGCUGCCAGCGCUCCGUCACUGAUUACACACACUGUGGAAAUGGGAUUAUAGCCCCAUCUCUGGAUCAUGUCAACAACAUAAUGCGAUGUGUUUAGAGAGAAAUCAAAUUAGCACGCUUGGAUUUAUCCCCGAUAAUCUGAUGUCUACGGGCAUGCACGCUCCUUAAUCUGAUCUUUCUUUUCAUCUGCGCAUGUGUGAAACCCUGGAAAACACAGACGACGACACAUCCUGAAGAGAGGAAGAAGAAAAAAAAAACAUGGCACACAGAGGGAAAGUUCUGGAGAGAAGAGAGGAGACAGGAAGUUUUCCCUUCAGCUCACACUUCUCUCAAACUGUCACAUGAUGAAUACACUCAGACAAAACGUUUGUGUUGUGAUCUUCAACACAAAUCAGGAGGAUUGUUCUGAAUGUGUCAGCUGGACACUUAAAAAGUCACACAGAUUAACUGUUCAGUAUAGAUGAUUUAUUUCAUUCAUAUGUACGAAGUUUGCGUCAACAAAAUACAGUAUCUCUUGUAAAUAGUGAGAAUAUAGAAUACAAUACAAUAGAUAUUUCUUUAGUGAAGUUCAAUAGUUUGUUUCUCAUGUUGUGAAUCAUGCAUGUCUCUUUAUCGUUAAUUCUUAUUGUCGACAUUUGAUCCCAAACUUUUGUAUAAUUACUUUCUUUUUCAUUACUGUUAUU